UGCUCCAGUUCGUUUCCUCAAAUUGGUUUCGUGUUCUAACUUCUCUCAGGUAUUGGCUUCCUAAAACUUGCUCAUAUGGACUCUUGGCUAUACCGAAAUGCAGGUUCAGACAGUACGGCUUGUGGGACAGGUAUACCGACAUACACCCGGAAUCCGAUCAAGUAUUCACGAUAGGGGUCAAUGAUCCAAAGAAAGACUGGUUUUUUGCCCAUGUUGACAGGAGAGGACCAGAUAAGUAUCUUCUCACAACAUGGACUAUCAAGUUCAAUCUGAACUCAGUGACAGGAGGAACCUACAAGCUCAGGUUGGCGAUUGCAUCAGCUACUCGCUCCGAUCUUCAGGUUCAUAUAAACUCCAUGGAUCAAGAACGUUUAGUGUUCCAAGUGAUGAAUUUGGGAACAGAUAACACAGUAUGCAGACAUGGUAUCCAUGGAUUAUACCGUCUUUUCAACUUUGACAUUUCUUCGUCAUUGUUGCUAAAGGGAGACAAUUCAAUGUAUCUCACGCAAGCCAGAGGAGGCGAUGCGCUAUGCGGAAUCCUCUAUGACUAUAUACGCCUUGAAGCGCCAGCAACUGAUUAGAGCGAGUUUAAGCAGCUAUGGAACUUGCUACUGACAUCUCAAUCACUAUGGAUGACGAGCUAUUGCGGAGAAGAGAUGAAGAAUAUUUUGCUAGGCAAAGAAAAGCAUGAAAAUUCUCUGAUAAAAGUAUAAAAGUAGAUUCCCGCCAUUAGCAAAUAAUUAAUUGCAUUUUUCCUGUUUCAUUAUUUCAUUUUCAGAAGCACAUUUGGCUGCUUCGCAGGUACAGAGUAUUGUACAAGACUUGGUUAUCGCUCAUCUA